AACGAACGUUAGCGGCGCGCCUAACACAUGCAAGUCGCACGAGAAAGGGCUUCGGCCCCGGUAAAGUGGCGCACGGGUGGGUAACACGUGGUAAUCUGCCCUCGAGCAGGGGAUAACAUUCCGAAAGGAGUGCUAAUACCGUAUAAGACCACGACUUCUAAAGAGGAUGCGGUCAAAGCUGGCCUCUAUACAUAAGCUAGCACUUGAGGAUGAGCCCGCGGUGCAUCAGGUAGUUGGUGAGGUAAUGGCUCACCAAGCCUAAGACGCGUAGCUGGUCUGAGAGGAUGAUCAGCCACACUGGAACUGAGACACGGUCCAGACUCCUACGGGAGGCAGCAGUGGGGAAUCUUGCGCAAUGGGCGAAAGCCUGACGCAGCGACGCCGCGUGAGUGAUGAAGGCCUUCGGGUUGUAAAGCUCUGUGGGGAGAGACGAAUAAGUGCAGCCUAAUACGUUGCAUGAUGACGGUAUCUCCUAGCAAGCACCGACUAACUCUGUGCCAGCCGCCGCCGUAAUAC
rnacentral:rRNA from 1 species